GAUCACAGAGGUUAAGACCAUAAGACACUCUGUAAUCUGUGCUAACCUCAACGUGCGGCCUAGUUGACAACCAUGAUACAAUGAAUACAAGGUUAGCACAGUUGCUAGUUGUUUAAUAAAGUAUAGCGUUAGCUGAAAGCAGAAAUAGGUCAUUACGAUUCAAGAGACGGAAGUCCCAACAAUGACCCAAUGUUACUUUCCUAUUAUUUACGACGGAAUAUGCGGUUUGUGGUGCCGCGGAUAAAAUGUAAAUUUUAAUACAAAUAAAAUGACUGCACACUG